rnacentral:lncRNA from 1 species
AUGCACAAGAUGCUGACGUAGCUGAUGAUGUAGCUGUGCUGACGUGCUCGAUGAUGCAACAAAUGCUGAUGUGGCAAUGAUGUUGAUGUAUUUGAUGAUGUGGCAGUAGACAUGGCUUUGCUGAUGUGGCCGAUGAUGCAACAAAUGCUAAUGUUGCAGAUGACGUGGCGGGACAUAUUGACUGAAAUUCUAGCCUUUGAUCCAUGCAUUAGAGGGCUUAUC